CGGUUAAGUUAGAAAGGGCGCACGGUGGAUGCCUUGGCACUAGGAGCCGAUGAAGGACGGGACGAACACCGAUAUGCUUCGGGGAGCUGUAAGCAAGCUUUGAUCCGGAGAUUUCCGAAUGGGGAAACCCACCACUCGUAAUGGAGUGGUAUCCAUAUCUGAAUACAUAGGAUAUGAGAAGGCAGACCCGGGGAACUGAAACAUCUAAGUACCCGGAGGAAGAGAAAGCAAAUGCGAUUCCCUGAGUAGCGGCGAGCGAAACGGGACCAGCCCAAACCAAGAGGCUUGCCUCUUGGGGUUGUAGGACACUCUGUACGGAGUUACAAAGGAACGAGGUAGAUGAAGAGGUCUGGAAAGGCCCGCCAUAGGAGGUAACAGCCCUGUAGUCAAAACUUCGUUCUCUCCUGAGUGGAUCCUGAGUACGGCGGAACACGUGAAAUUCCGUCGGAAUCCGGGAGGACCAUCUCCCAAGGCUAAAUACUCCCUAGUGACCGAUAGUGAACCAGUACCGUGAGGGAAAGGUGAAAAGCACCCCGGAAGGGGAGUGAAAGAGAUCCUGAAACCGUGUGCCUACAAGUAGUCAGAGCCCGUUAACGGGUGAUGGCGUGCCUUUUGUAGAAUGAACCGGCGAGUUACGAUCCCGUGCAAGGUUAAGCAGAAGAUGCGGAGCCGCAGCGAAAGCGAGUCUGAAUAGGGCGAAUUGAGUACGUGGUCGUAGACCCGAAACCAGGUGAUCUACCCAUGUCCAGGGUGAAGUUCAGGUAACACUGAAUGGAGGCCCGAACCCACGCACGUUGAAAAGUGCGGGGAUGAGGUGUGGGUAGGGGUGAAAUGCCAAUCGAACCUGGAGAUAGCUGGUUCUCUCCGAAAUAGCUUUAGGGCUAGCCUCAAGGUAAGAGUCUCGGAGGUAGAGCACUGAUUGGACUAGGGGCCCCUACCGGGUUACCGAAUUCAGUCAAACUCCGAAUGCCGAUGACUUAUCCUUGGGAGUCAGACUGCGAGUGAUAAGAUCCGUAGUCGAAAGGGAAACAGCCCAGACCGCCAGCUAAGGUCCCAAAGUAUACGUUAAGUGGAAAAGGAUGUGGAGUUGCUUAGACAACCAGGAUGUUGGCUUAGAAGCAGCCACCAUUUAAAGAGUGCGUAAUAGCUCACUGGUCGAGUGACUCUGCGCCGAAAAUGUACCGGGGCUAAACGUAUCACCGAAGCUGCGGACUGUUCUUCGAACAGUGGUAGGAGAGCGUUCUAAGGGCUGUGAAGCAAGACCGGAAGGACUUGUGGAGCGCUUAGAAGUGAGAAUGCCGGUAUGAGUAGGAAAGAGGGGUGAGAAUCCCCUCCACCGAAUGCCUAAGGUUUCCUGAGGAAGGCUCGUCCGCUCAGGGUUAGUCGGGACCUAAGCCGAGGCCGAAAGGCGUAGGCGAUGGAUAACAGGUUGAUAUUCCUGUACCACCUCCUCACCAUUUGAGCAAUGGGGGGACGCAGGAGGAUAGGGUAAGCGCGGUAUUGGAUAUCCGCGUCCAAGCAGUUAGGCUGGGAAAUAGGCAAAUCCGUUUCCCGUGAAGGCUGAGCUGUGAUGGCGAGCGAAUUAUAGUAGCGAAGUUCCUGAUUCCACACUGCCAAGAAAAGCCUCUAGCGAGGUGAGAGGUGCCCGUACCGCAAACCGACACAGGUAGGCGAGGAGAGAAUCCUAAGGUGAUCGAGAGAACUCUCGUUAAGGAACUCGGCAAAAUGACCCCGUAACUUCGGGAGAAGGGGUGCUCUGUUAGGGUGCAAGCCCGAGAGAGCCGCAGUGAAUAGGCCCAGGCGACUGUUUAGCAAAAACACAGGUCUCUGCGAAGCCGUAAGGCGAAGUAUAGGGGCUGACGCCUGCCCGGUGCUGGAAGGUUAAGAGGAGCGCUUAGCGUAAGCGAAGGUGCGAAUUGAAGCCCCAGUAAACGGCGGCCGUAACUAUAACGGUCCUAAGGUAGCGAAAUUCCUUGUCGGGUAAGUUCCGACCCGCACGAAAGGCGCAACGAUCUGGGCACUGUCUCAACGAGAGACUCGGUGAAAUUAUAGUACCUGUGAAGAUGCAGGUUACCCGCGACAGGACGGAAAGACCCCGUGGAGCUUUACUGCAGCCUGAUAUUGAAUGUUGGUACAGCUUGUACAGGAUAGGUAGGAGCCUUGGAAACCGGAGCGCCAGCUUCGGUGGAGGCAUCGGUGGGAUACUACCCUGGCUGUAUUGACCUUCUAACCCGCCGCCCUUAUCGGGCGGGGAGACAGUGUCAGGUGGGCAGUUUGACUGGGGCGGUCGCCUCCUAAAAGGUAACGGAGGCGCCCAAAGGUUCCCUCAGAAUGGUUGGAAAUCAUUCGCAGAGUGUAAAGGCACAAGGGAGCUUGACUGCGAGACCUACAAGUCGAGCAGGGACGAAAGUCGGGCUUAGUGAUCCGGUGGUUCCGCAUGGAAGGGCCAUCGCUCAACGGAUAAAAGCUACCCCGGGGAUAACAGGCUUAUCUCCCCCAAGAGUCCACAUCGACGGGGAGGUUUGGCACCUCGAUGUCGGCUCAUCGCAUCCUGGGGCUGUAGUCGGUCCCAAGGGUUGGGCUGUUCGCCCAUUAAAGCGGUACGCGAGCUGGGUUCAGAACGUCGUGAGACAGUUCGGUCCCUAUCCGUCGCGGGCGCAGGAAAUUUGAGAGGAGCUGUCCUUAGUACGAGAGGACCGGGAUGGACGCACCGCUGGUGUACCAGUUGUUCUGCCAAGGGCAUCGCUGGGUAGCUAUGUGCGGACGGGAUAAGUGCUGAAAGCAUCUAAGCAUGAAGCCCCCCUCAAGAUGAGAUUUCCCAUUCCGCAAGGAAGUAAGAUCCCUGAAAGAUGAUCAGGUUGAUAGGUCUGAGGUGGAAGUGUGGCGACACAUGGAGCUGACAGAUACUAAUCGAUCGAGGACUUAACCAAUUU
rnacentral:rRNA from 1 species